GGCGAACGGGUGAGUAACACGUGAGUAACCUGCCUUGACUCUGGGAUAAGCCUGGGAAACUGGGUCUAAUACUGGAUACGACCUUCCAUCGCAUGGUGGUUGGUGGAAAGCUUUUGUGGUUUUGGAUGGACUCGCGGCCUAUCAGCUUGUUGGUGGGGUAAUGGCCUACCAAGGCGACGACGGGUAGCCGGCCUGAGAGGGUGGACGGCCACACUGGGACUGAGACACGGCCCAGACUCCUACGGGAGGCAGCAGUGGGGAAUAUUGCACAAUGGGCGCAAGCCUGAUGCAGCGACGCCGCGUGAGGGAUGAAGGCCUUCGGGUUGUAAACCUCUUUCAGUAGGGAAGAAGCGAAAGUGACGGUACCUGCAGAAGAAGCGCCGGCUAACUACGUGCCAGCAGCCGCGGUAAUACGUAGGGCGCAAGCGUUAUCCGGAAUUAUUGGGCGUAAGAGCUCGUAGGCGGUUUGUCGCGUCUGCCGUGAAAGUCCGGGGCUUAACCCCGGAUCUGCGGUGGGUACGGGCAGACUUGAGUGAUGUAGGGGAGACUGGAAUUCCUGGUGUAGCGGUGAAAUGCGCAGAUUCAGGAGGCAACACCGAUUGCGAAG
rnacentral:rRNA from 1 species